GUGGGGAAUAUUGCACAAUGGGGGAAACCCUGAUGCAGCGACGCCGCGUGGGUGAAGAAGUAUUUCGGUAUGUAAAGCCCUAUCAGCAGGGAAGAUAGUGACGGUACCUGAGUAAGAAGCCCCGGCUAACUACGUGCCAGCAGCCGCGGUAAUACGUAGGGGGCAAGCGUUAUCCGGAUUUACUGGGUGUAAAGGGAGCGUAGACGGCAGCGCAAGCCUGGAGUGAAAGGAUGGGGCCCAACCCCAUGACUGCUCUGGGAACUGCGCGGCUGGAGUGCCGGAGGGGUAAGCGGAAUUCCUAGUGUAGCGGUGAAAUGCGUAGAUAUUAGGAGGAACACCAGUGGCGAAGGCGGCUUACUGGACGGUAACUGACGUUGAGGCUCGAAAGCGUGGGGAGCAAACAGG
rnacentral:rRNA from 1 species